rnacentral:rRNA from 1 species
AAUGAACGUUGGUGGCGUGGAUUAGGCAUGCAAGUCGUGCGAGAACCCUCCUUCGGGAGGGGGACAGCGGCGAACGGGGUAGUAAGGCGUCGGAACGUACCCACGGGUCCGGGAUAGCGGCGGGAAACUGCCGGUAAUACCGGAUGACCUCUUUGGAGCAAAGGUGUGAUUCCGCCUGUGGAGCGGCCGACGUGAUACCAGCUAGUUGGUGAGGUAACGGCUCACCAAGGCUCAGACGUCUAGGGGGUGUGAGAGCAUGGCCCCCACCACUGGGACUGAGACACUGCCCAGACACCUACGGGUGGCUGCAGUCGAGAAUCUUCGGCAAUGGGCGCAAGCCUGACCGAGCGACGCCACGUGCGGGAUGACGGCCCUCGGGUUGUAAACCGCUGUCGAGGGGGAUGAAGUCACGGGAGGUACUCCUCUCGUGUUGACAGAGCCCUGGAGGAAGCGCGGGCUAAGUACGUGCCAGCCGCCGCAGUAAGAC